UACGGAGGGUGCAAGCAUUAAUCGGAUUUAUUGGGCGUAAAGGGCGCGUAGGCGGAGAUGUCAGUCAGAUGUGAAAUCCCGGGGCUCACCCCCGGAACUGCAUUUGAAACUACAUUUCUAGAGGGUAGGCGGAGAAAAUGGAAUUCCACAAGUAGCGGUGAAAUGCGUAGAUAUGUGGAAGAACACCAGUGGCGAAAGCGGUUUUCUAGCUUAUUCCUGACGCUGAGGCGCGAAAGCAAGGGGAUCAAACAGG
rnacentral:rRNA from 1 species